rnacentral:rRNA from 1 species
CCUACGGGAGGCUGCAGUGGGGAAUAUUGGGCAAUGGGCGCAAGCCUGACCCAGCAACGCCGCGUGAAGGAAGAAGGCUUUCGGGUUGUAAACUUCUUUUCUCAGGGACGAAGCAAGUGACGGUACCUGAGGAAUAAGCCACGGCUAACUACGUGCCAGCAGCCGCGGUAAUACGUAGGUGGCAAGCGUUAUCCGGAUUUACUGGGUGUAAAGGGCGUGUAGGCGGGGAGGCAAGUCAGUGGUAAAAACCACGGGCUCAACCUGGGGCCUGCUUUGAAAAUGUGGUACUUGAGUACUGGAGAGGCAGACGGAAUUCCAAGUGUAGCGGUGAAAUGCGUAGAUAUUAGGAGGAACACCAGUGGCGAAGGCGGUCUGCUGGACAGCAACUGACGCUGAGGCGCGAAAGCGUGGGGAGCAAACAGGAUUAGAUACCCUUGUAGUC